rnacentral:ribozyme from 14 species
AAACAUAAAUCUAAGAAAGAAACAAAGAAAGAAAGAAAGAAAGGAGCCUGGGGGAAAUGCGUCUCUGGUGAAAGGCCUUUUCCAUUCCUUUCUACUUUUUUACCCC